rnacentral:misc_RNA from 1 species
UUAUGAACAGACGACAUUUCUUGCUCAACAUUUAUUUUUAUUGAGUUUAUUGUGAUUUACUUAUAAUUAUUUUAUUAAAAAAAUUAUUUAAACCCAAUUUGUUAUGAAUUUAAAUAAAUAUGUAACAAAGUUUUUCCUAUUAAGAUCUUAAAUUGAAGAAAAAGGAUCUUCGUGAGAGCUCGCUGACACUUGAAUAGCCGAUACUCGCUCUCUGACGCCUCUUCUUUUAGGAUUCCAAGUGGGAAAAAAAAAGGAAAAGCCAACAUCU